ensembl:lncRNA podoplanin
GAAAACAUAACGAGUCUUGCACAGGCUGCUGGAGGGGCUGCACUCCCAGAACUGCACAUGAAAAGGAAAAAUCCUCUCUCUGAAGGGUGCUAUCAGCUCCCCAAGGCCAGCGAGCCUGUGGGCAGAGGGAAACGGUCGAGCACAGCCAGGAUGUCACUUGAGGACACAAGAUGAGAGACACAGACACACAGGAAAAUUCAGGCAGUAUUUACUGCAGAAUUAAAUAGCUUGCCCUAAAAACUAUUUCAGUAUCCCUAAAUGCACAUUCAGUACCACACUUGCUUAGAUAAACAUGGGGGCUCACUUGGAAAUGAAAAACACAUCAGUUCACUGCUGGAAAUAACAAGAAAAGCGUCCUUAGUGUUGUUCUUUAAGGAUUUUUUUAAGACAGUUUGCAGAAGGGAGGGAACACCACGCUUUGCCUAAAUUCCUCUUCCCCCUUUGCUAAAUAAAAGUCUUCUGAAAGCCACAACAGGUCCUGUAACUUUAAACCUGAGCUGAGAUCAUAAUUUUGGUCCUGACCAAACAGCGUGGGGAGGGCGGGCCUGGCUGCUCAUUGAGGACCACUUUAGGCUGCUCCCAUCCCUUGGCUAAAGAAAAGAAGUCAGGCUCCACUCAGUUUUCAUUAACUGUUCAGUUAUCAUCUGAGAAAACCUCCCCUCUUUACGCUGCAGCAGCUAAAGGAAUAUUUGGAAUACCAAAGUAUUUUUUUUUGCAGUGAUUUCUUUUUAUCAUCUCAAUUCUCCACUGCCUCUGAAAGAAAUCAUCCGAAUUUGGAUCCGUCUGGCUUCAGGAUUGGAAAGCGACUCUCUAAGCAGAUCAAAUAUGUUUAUUAAAGUUCCAUUCUUCAUCUUGGUCCUGGGGAGCGUGCCUUUUGUAGCACUUGCUCAAGAAGCAAGCUCCGUUCUAGAAGGAGAAGAAAGUGCAACAAUUGAUUUCAGAGACAGAAAUGACACAGAUUAUGAAGAAUUACCAACAAUAUUUGGAGAACUGAAGACUACUGAAAGUACCUUUGUCCUGGAUGGAGAAAGUGAAAAUGCUACUGCUUAUGAAGUUAACACAGAAAGUCUUGAUGGUAAAAAUCCCUUUCAUUUCUAUUUUUUCAUAUCUAAGUUCUACUGCCAUCUACUAAACAAUAUCUGGAAAUCACAAAUAUUCUCCCAAACUUUAUUUGCUCACUUUCUACCAAAAGAACAACCACAAACCAUUGUUACAAAGUCAAUAAAGUUUCUCCAUAGCCUUUCAAAUUGGAAGGCAACACUCAGGACAAAGCAGAGUGAGUAA